rnacentral:misc_RNA from 1 species
GUGGGAUCCAGGCCGUAACCCAAACAUCACGCCAUGCUCGCUCAAACUACCUCCAGAUAAUCUUCUCAUUUUCUGCCAUAGCCUCCUAGUUUUUCCUUUUCUCAGAGGACCUGAGCUAGAGUACCUCCUAAAUGAACCAGAUUCUUGCUGUCCAUAUCUUGCUAAUGGACUCAGUAAAUCUGACAUUGAAAGACCCCUCUCAACAUCCAGCUCACUGUCAGAGUUAGAAACCGGGGAUUGA